GACGGACGCUGGCGGCGUGCUUAACACAUGCAAGUCGAACGGAAAGGCCCCAGCUUGCUGGGGUACUCGAGUGGCGAACGGGUGAGUAACACGUGGGUGAUCUGCCCUGCACUCUGGGAUAAGCCUGGGAACCUGGGUCUAAUACCGGAUAGGACCGUGCUUUAGUGUGUGCGGUGGAAAGUUUUUCGGUGCAGGAUGAGCCCGCGGCCUAUCAGCUUGUUGGUGGGGUAAUGGCCUACCAAGGCGGCGACGGGUAGCCGGCCUGAGAGGGUGUACGGCCACAUUGGGACUGAGACACGGCCCAGACUCCUACGGGAGGCAGCAGUGGGGAAUAUUGCACAAUGGGCGCAAGCCUGAUGCAGCGACGCCGCGUGGGGGAUGACGGCCUUCGGGUUGUAAACCCCUUUCGGCAGGGACGAAGCUUUUGUGACGGUACCUGCAUAAGAAGCACCGGCUAACUACGUG
rnacentral:rRNA from 1 species